UACGAAGGGGGCUAGCGUUGUUCGGAAUUACUGGGCGUAAAGGGCGCGUAGGCGGCCGAUCAAGUCAGAUGUGAAAGUCCUGGGCUUAACCUGGGGACUGCAUUUGAUACUGAUUGGCUUGAAUUCGGGAGAGGAUAGCGGAAUUCCCAGUGUAGAGGUGAAAUUCGUAGAUAUUGGGAAGAACACCGGUGGCGAAGGCGGCUAUCUGGACCGACAUUGACGCUGAUGCGCGAAAGCGUGGGGAGCAAACAGG
rnacentral:rRNA from 1 species